GCGGGUGUCGCGCAGUCGGGGCGAGCCGCGAGGAGCGGGCGGCGGUGCUUGCUGUGCGCGGCGGGCCGUCGGCUGCGGUUAUCCAACCAUAUCUGGAGACUACCUUCAGGUUAUCUCCUGACUUACAAUAGCUGCAUCUUACAAGACAACUAAGGGGAAAGCAGAAGGCAAUAUUGCUUCAGACAACCUCAUAGAUCUGCUCAGAAUACAAAAGAAGAAGAUAGCUCUCAAACACUGCUCUAGACUGUAGUACAUAUUUAAAGAUGAUCACCGUUCCCACAUAGAUGCUAAGAGUUUCCGGGUGCUGUUACUGUGUGUGGGAAAAGGGAAAGAUGACCUUCGGUAACAAAGUGGGAGGGCACUGCUUGAGAUAAGAAUGCAGCUGCCAAAGAACAGCAUAGCUAGAUACUCAUCCGAUUAUCACAUGAAAAAAACAUUCAACUUCUAGUUUCAAUACAGAAGAUUUUAAACCUCAGAGCCUCCCUGGAACAGAGAGUGAACAAUAAAGUCCUGUAAGAAACAUGCUAAAAAUAGUCUCCAUCUAUGUGUGAAAUCUCUGUGUGCUUCCAUGACCUCCAGUAGGGUGUUUGCUGGCUGCCUCCCAAGUAAUUGGAAAGAUAAGCAAAUGCAAACUGAAAUCUCUUUUUCUUCUUCUGAUUAAAAGAGGAAAAUAUUCCAUGGGUAGCUCCAGGCUUCAUUUUAUUAACAUUCUGUUAACACAUACUUUACAUGUAGCUA